rnacentral:rRNA from 1 species
GACAGAGGUGCCGAGCGUUAGGCGGAAUCACUGGGCUUAAAGCGUGUGUAGGCGGAUCGUUAAGUACCUUGUGAAAUCCCACGGCUCAACCGUGGAACUGCUGGGUAUACUGGCAGUCUUGAGCCACCUAGGGGCGAGCGGAACAAGCGGUGGAGCGGUGAAAUGCGUAGAUAUCGCUUGGAACGCCAACGGUGAAAACAGCUCGCUGGGGGUGUGCUGACGCUGAGACACGAAAGCCAGGGGAGCGAACGGG